CCUACGGGUGGCAGCAGUGAGGAAUAUUGGUCAAUGGACGAGAGCCUGAACCAGCCAAGUAGCGUGAAGGAUGACUGCCCUAUGGGUUGUAAACUUCUUUUAUAAAGGAAUAAAACGAGGCACGUGUGCCUUUUUGCAUGUACUUUAUGAAUAAGGAUCGGCUAAGUCCGUUCCAUCAGCCGCGGUAAUACGGAGGAUCCGAGCGUUAUCCGGAUUUAUUGGGUUUAAAGGGAGCGUAGAUGGGUUGUUAAGUCAGUUGUGAAAGUUUGCGGCUCAACCGUAAAAUUGCAAGUGAUACUGGCAGUCUUGAGGACAGUUGAGGUAGGCGGAAUUCGUGGUGUAGCGGUGAAAUGCUUAGAUAUCACGAAGAACCCCGAUUGCGAAGGCAGCAUACUAAACUGUGACUGACACUGAUGCUCGAAAGUGUGGGUAUCAAACAGGAUUAGAUACCCCAGUAGUC
rnacentral:rRNA from 1 species